GCCCCAGUGGCACAAUGGGUCAAGUGUGUCUUGACUGUUAACCAGAAGGUUGGUGGUUCGAGACCACUCAGGGACA